ensembl:snoRNA SNORA75 Small nucleolar RNA SNORA75
GUCUUCUCAAUGAGCUCCUUCCCGUCUAUCAGUGAUGGGCUGUGGAUUCGCACGAGAAGAAAAUUCACUUCACUCCACAUGUAGUGUUCCUGUUGUCACGGGGAUGCUCAAGUGUGGCUGUGAGACAAGU